rnacentral:rRNA from 1 species
GAUGAACGCUGGCGGCGUGCUUAACACAUGCAAGUCGAACGAAGCAUUUAAGACAGAUUACUUCGGUUUGAAGUCUUUUAUGACUGAGUGGCGGACGGGUGAGUAACGCGUGGGUAACCUGCCUCAUACAGGGGGAUAGCAGCUGGAAACGGCUGGUAAUACCGCAUAAGCGCACGGUAUCGCAUGAUACAGUGUGAAAAACUCCGGUGGUAUGAGAUGGACCCGCGUCUGAUUAGCUAGUUGGUGAGGUAACGGCCCACCAAGGCGACGAUCAGUAGCCGGCCUGAGAGGGUGAACGGCCACAUUGGGACUGAGACACGGGCCCAAAACUCCUACGGGAGCAGCAGUGGGGAAUAUUGCACAAUGGGGGAAACCCUGAUGCAGCGACGCCGCGUGAGCGAAGAAGUA